UUUCUGACUAGUAUCAGGGGUAGC
rnacentral:snRNA from 1 species